rnacentral:rRNA from 1 species
UACGUAGGGACCAAGCGUUGUUCGGAUUUACUGGCGUAAAGAGCGCGCAGGCGGUCGAGUAAGUCGAAUGUGAAAGCCCCCGGCUUAACUGGGGAGGGUCAUUCGAUACUGUUCGACUUGAAGGCAGGAGAGGGCAGCAGAAUUCCCGGUGUAGUGGUGAAAUGCGUAGAUAUCGGGAGGAAUACCAGUGGCGAAGGCGGCUGCCUGGCCUGUUCUUGACGCUGAGGCGCGAAAGCUGGGGGAGCAAACGGGG